rnacentral:rRNA from 1 species
GAUCAUGGCUCAGAACGAACGCUGGCGGCAUGGAUUAGGCAUGCAAGUCGAACGGGAGCAGCAAUGCUCCAGUGGCGCAAGGGUGAGGAACACGUGAACAACCUGCCUUCGAGUUGGGGAUAGCUUCUGGAAACGGGAGAUAAUACCGAAUAACAUCAACUGGUCGCAUGACUGGUUGAUCAAAGCAGCAAUGCGCUUGAAGAGGGGUUCGCGUCCCAUUAGCUAGUUGGUGAGGUAACGGCCCACCAAGGCGAUGAUGGGUAGCUGGUCUGAGAGGACGAUCAGCCACAUUGGGACUGAGAUACUGCCCAGACUCCUACGGGAGGCUGCAGUCGAGAAUUUUGGGCAAUGGACGAAAGUCUGACCCAAGCAAUGCCGCGUGCGGGAUGAAGGUCUUCGGAUUGUAAACCGCUGUCAAGAGGGACGAAAUUUGACGGUACCUCUGGAGGAAGCCACGGCUAACUACGUGCCAGCAGCGGC